rnacentral:rRNA from 1 species
AUUGAACGCUGGCGGUAUGCUUAACACAUGCAAGUCGAACGGCAACAGGCCUUCGGGCGCUGACGAGUGGCGGACGGGUGCGUAACGCGUAGGAAUCUGCCUGGUAGUGGGGGACAACUUGGGGAAACCCAAGCUAAUACCGCAUACGCCCUACGGGGGAAAGCGGGGGACCUUCGGGCCUCGCGCUAUCAGAUGAGCCUGCGUUGGAUUAGCUGGUUGGUAGGGUAAAGGCCUACCAAGGCGACGAUCCAUAGCUGGUCUGAGAGGACGAUCAGCCAGACUGGGACUGGGACCCGGCCCAGACUGCUACGGGAGGCAGCAGUGGGGAAUAUUGGACAAUGGGCGCAAGCCUGAUCCAGCAAUACCGCGGGUGUGAAGAAGGCCUGAGGGUUGUAAAGCACUUUUAAUCGGGAGGAAAACCUGUCGGCGAAUACCCGGCGGCUUGACAUUACCGAUAGAAAAAGCACCGGCUAACUCCGUGCCAGCAGCCGCCGUAAAAC